rnacentral:rRNA from 1 species
GAUGAACGCUGGCGGCGUGCCUAAUACAUGCAAGUCGAGCGAACAGACGAGGAGCUUGCUCCUCUGACGUUAGCGGCGGACGGGUGAGUAACACGUGGAUAACCUACCUAUAAGACUGGGAUAACUUCGGGAAACCGGAGCUAAUACCGGAUAACAUGUUGAACCGCAUGGUUCAACAGUGAAAGACGGUCUUGCUGUCACUUAUAGAUGGAUCCGCGCCGCAUUAGCUAGUUGGUAAGGUAACGGCUUACCAAGGCAACGAUGCGUAGCCGACCUGAGAGGGGAUCGGCCACACUGGAACUGAGACACGGUCCAGACUCCUACGGGAGGCAGCAGUAGGGAAUCUUCCGCAAUGGGCGAAAGCCUGACGGAGCAACGCCGCGUGAGUGAAGAAGGUCUCCGGAUCGUAAAACUCUGUUAUUAGGGAAGAACAAAUGUGUAAGUAACUAUGCACGUCUUGACGGUACCUAAUCAGAAAGCCACGGCUAACUACGUG